UAGCUCAGUGGGUUGCAGCGUGGUGCUGAUAAUAUCAAGGUCACGGGUUCGAUCCCCGU
rnacentral:tRNA from 1 species